AUACCUCAGUAACGGCGAGUGAAGCGGUAACAGCUCAAAUUUGAAAUCUGGCUCUUUCAGGGUCCGAGUUGUAAUUUGUAGAAGAUGUUUCGGGUGUGGCUCCGGUCUAAGUUCCUUGGAACAGGACGUCGUAGAGGGUGAGAAUCCCGUAUGUGACUGGCUGCCUCCGCCCAUGUGAAACUCUUUCGACGAGUCGAGUUGUUUGGGAAUGCAGCUCAAAAUGGGUGGUAAAUUUCAUCUAAAGCUAAAUAUUGGCCAGAGACCGAUAGCGCACAAGUAGAGUGAUCGAAAGAUGAAAAGCACUUUGGAAAGAGAGUUAAACAGUACGUGAAAUUGUUGAAAGGGAAGCGCUUGCAAUCAGACUUGCGCGCGGCCGAUCAUCCGGGGUUCUCCCCGGUGCACUCGGUCGCGUUCAGGCCAGCAUCGGUUUGGGUGGUGGGAUAAAGGCCUUGGGAAUGUAGCUUCUUUCGGGGAGUGUUAUAGCCCUCGGUGCAAUGCCGCCUAUCCAGACCGAGGACCGCGCUUCGGCUAGGAUGCUGGCGUAAUGGUUGUAAGCGACCCGUCUUGAAACACGGACCAAGGAGUCUAACACUUAUGC
rnacentral:rRNA from 1 species